UGGUUUGUUGGUAAACAAACGGCGACAACAGCAGACACGCCGACUGCGACGCGAAUAUAGCGACAGCGGCGUACAGCGUAACCGACCUACGACUUGUCGAGCGUUAUUGUCUGCGGCUGGAAGCUCGAUGACUCUGAUGGCUCGGUGGAGUGGACGAGUCGGUGAAGUGAAUUUUUUACCUUCGUUUGGCGGGAAACCGCUUCAUAUAAAGCCAAUAACAUUCGCUUUGCAUUGCCCUCAACCACAAAACCGAAGACACGAACAAAGGGGAAUUCGCAAAAGCAGUGCAAAAAAUUGCAAAACAGCAACAAACCAUCCCCGAUCAAACAGCACAAGCAGCAGAACAUUAACAAAGGCCGUAUUAGUCCAAAAACCAACAGAGGGUUGAAAUUAAUUUAAUGCCAAAGCCAUUGCAGAGUUUCGAAUUUUGCAAAUUGCACGCGGUAGCAGGUAGGCAGGCAGGACGGGUGAGACAAGCGACAUUGGUUUGAAAACCAGCCGCCAUCGCUGCCGCUAUGAGGUCGUCGACAUUGGCAAUGUUCGUGGCAGAAGCAAUUGCAAAUGUGCUCGGUGGUCGGGGGGAUGCAGACGGUGUCAUUUAAACUGCGCAUAAAAACAGGGAACAAACGAAAAUUGAAAUGAACCGAGGGAUACAAGUACAUACUCGUAUUUUGUUUUGAUCAUUAAAGUUCAACUGAAAUGUCGUAGAAGUGUA